AAACAGGCCCUUUUUAGGGCCACAAUCGUAUCUUAUGAGAAACAAU
rfam:Oikopleura dioica, whole genome shotgun assembly, reference scaffold set, scaffold scaffold_9